rnacentral:tRNA from 1 species
GCCUUCGUGGUGUAACGGUCAACGCGCUCGAUGCGUAUUCGAGAGGUCCGUGGUUCGAUUCCAGGCGAGGACA